GACGAACGCUGGCGGCGUGCUUAACACAUGCAAGUCGAACGGAAAGGCCCUGCUUUUGUGGGGUGCUCGCGUGGCGAACGUGUGAGUAACCCGUGAGUAACCUUCGCUUGACUUUGGGAUAACUUCAGGAAACUGGGGCUAAUACCGGCUACGAGCUCCUGCUGCAUGGUGGGCGUUGGACAGUUUAGGCGGUGGGGGAUGGACUGGCGGUUUAUUAGCUGGUUGGUGGGGUAGUGGCUUACCAAGGCUUCGGCGGGUAGCCGGCCUGAGAGGGUGACCGGCGACAUUGGGACUGAGGGAGGGCCCAGACUGCUACGGUAGGCAGCGGUGGGGAGUAUUGUACAGUGGGCGGAAGCGUGAGGCAGCAACGCCGCGUGCGUAAUGACGGCCUUCUGGUUGUAAACCGCUGUAGCCUGUGACGAAGCGGGAGUGACGGUAAUGGGUAAAGAAGCACCGGCUAACUACGUG
rnacentral:rRNA from 1 species